AUUGAACGCUGGCGGCAGGCCUAACACAUGCAAGUCGAGCGGAUGAAGGGAGCUUGCUCCUGGAUUCAGCGGCGGACGGGUGAGUAAUGCCUAGGAAUCUGCCUGGUAGUGGGGGAUAACGUCCGGAAACGGGCGCUAAUACCGCAUACGUCCUGAGGGAGAAAGUGGGGGAUCUUCGGACCUCACGCUAUCAGAUGAGCCUAGGUCGGAUUAGCUAGUUGGUGGGGUAAAGGCCUACCAAGGCGACGAUCCGUAACUGGUCUGAGAGGAUGAUCAGUCACACUGGAACGGAGACACGGUCCAGAGGCCUACGGGAGGCAGCAGUGGGGAAUAUUGGACAAUGGGCGAAAGCCUGAUCCAGCCAUGCCGCGUGUGUGAAGAAGGUCUUCGGAUUGUAAAGCACUUUAAGUUGGGAGGAAGGGCAGUAAGUUAAUACCUUGCUGUUUUGACGUUACCAACAGAAUAAGCACCGGCUAACUUCGUG
rnacentral:rRNA from 1 species